rnacentral:lncRNA from 1 species
GAAAAAAAUAAAAACAAAUAUAUUAAAAAAUUUAAGCAGAAAAAAACAAAAGCAAAUAUAAUAAUAAAAUUAAGCAAAAAUAUGUACAAAAAUAUUCCCCAAAACAUACCCAAAAGUAUAAGCGAAAACACAUACACGCCGUUUCAUGUUUUACUAGUUAAAUAAAUAGUAUGAAUAUAUCAUCAGCACAAAUAUAUACAUACACACGUACUUAGAUACAUACAUACAUACAUAUCUAUAUUCCCCCAUUUUUAACAUAAAACAAUGAAAAUACACUCUCUUUAUACAAUUCUGUGUCUAUCCCUUUUAGCCUUAACCAUAUGUGUUUGUAAAAAAGUGUUGUUUAUCGAUAUGUUAAACGGAAUUAACAUAAGUUAUAACAAAAAAAAAAAUAUAAAUAAGUGCCUAAGCAAUAAUUAUGAAUAUUUCCCAAACAAAUCUCAAUUUGCUAAUAAAAGUACAGCACAAGAAAUAAUAAAAACUAAAACAUAUAUUACUUUAGAUGAUAAAACAAAAGAAAACAUAUUAAAACAAUAUAUAUAUACACUAUCACAUUUAGCUAUUUUUGAUAUUGAUAGAGAUAAAGAUGUACCCAUGAACCUAUCUUUCUUAAUAAAAGCUUGUAUGGCAUCACAUAAUUAUAUUAAGAAUGUGGAAAUAUAUACUUCGGAUGUUAAUAAUAAAGAAAUAUGCUCAUUUAUAUAUGAAGAUAAAACUGAAUUUGAUAAUUUUUUUAAGUUACAUAUGCAAAAAUAUAUCGACUUUUUUAAUGGUCCGAAUAUUGAUGAAACAUUAAAAUCAUAUAUAGAUGAUAAAGAACUUUAUAAUCAAGAAUUAACCAUUUUUAAUAAAAUUAAUGCAGAUACAAGUUUACAAAAAAAUGUUUUGCUAGAUAUACUGUUCGAAUGUUCAAGGCUAAAUAAAGCAAUUCAGUACAGUUUAGCAUUGAAUAAAUUUGAUUUAUUACAUAAUCACAUAAUGUAUAAAAUUUUUUUAUAUUUUAAAACUAAUAAUAUUUAUUACGAUAUAUAUAUACAUAAUAUAAAAAAAGUUAAAUAUUAUUACGCAAAAAAAAAUAUAAAGGACGAACAUAAAGAAAAGAUAUUUAAAAUU